GAAGAAGAAGAAGAAGAGCAGAGCAGAGCAGGCAGCAGCAGGAAGCAGCAGGAGAGGAAUGGUAGCAAGCUGCUUGUUUCAAAGUUGCGCGUAUUGAUGGAAAUGGUCUUUGAAGGAGUGAAAACAGCUGAAAUCAAGUGGAGUCCUGAAGUUCUGAAAAGGUGAAAAUGCUCCUAGACUGGACAAUAAUCAGGUACUGAUGUUCCUGAAGAGAAGUUUCUCAUAACAAUGCUGUAAAUCUUUGCUUGCUUAUUCUUUUAAAAUUGUAAUAGUAUCCUGUAUUUGCUCUGAUUCAUCUAAUAAAAUUGUGCCUCUUA